rnacentral:tRNA from 1 species
GCCUGGGUGGCUCAGUCGGUUGAGCACCUGACUUCGGCUCAGGUCAUGAUCUCGUGGUCUGUGAGUUUGAGCCCCGCGUCGGGCU